AGGGGGUGAAAUAGUACCUGAAACCAUACGCUUACAAGCGGUCGGAGGUCCUUCGUGGACUGACGGCGUGCCUUUUGCAUAAUGAGCCUACGAGUUACUCUUCAUUGGCAAGGUUAAGCCCUUUAGGGGCGCAACCGCAGCGAAAGCAAGUCUGAAUAGGGCGCACAGUCAGUGGAGGUAGACGCGAAACCCGGUGAUCUACCCAUGACCAGGUUGAAGUGACAGUAACAUGUCAUGGAGGACCGAACCAAUAUACGUUGAAAAGUGUUUGGAUGAGUUGUGGGUAGGGGUGAAAGGCCAAUCAAACCGGGAAAUAGCUCGUACUCCCCGAAAUGCUUUUAGGAGCAGCGUUGGAGUUGAGUCUUACGGAGGUAGAGCUACCAAUAGGACUAGGGGGAGUCAAAUCCUACCAAAUCCUGAUGAACUCCGAAUGCCGUAAGAUAUAUCCAGCAGUGAGGGCUAGGGUGCUAAGGUCCUAGUCCAAAAGGGAAAGAACCCAGACCGUCAGCUAAGGUCCCUAAAUCUAUGCUAAGUUGAACUAAGGUAGUCCAGUUGCCGUGACAGCAAGGAUGUUGGCUUGGAAGCAGCCAUUCAUUUAAAGAGUGCGUAACAGCUCACUUGUCGAGCGACAGGGCAUCGAUGAUAAUCGGGCAUCAAGCAUAGUACCGAAGCUACGGAUUGUAAUUUAUUACAGUGGUAGGGGAGCAUUCCAACGACGCCGAAGCCGCUUUGCGAGAAGUGGUGGAGUUUUUGGAAAAGCAAAUGUAGGCAUAAGUAACGAGAAUGCAGGUGAGAAACCUGCACGCCAAUAGACUAAGGUUUCCUGAUCAACGCUAAUCGGAUCAGGGUUAGUCGGGACCUAAGGCGAACCCGAAAGGGGUAGUCGAUGGACAAUCGGUUAAUAUUCCGAUACUAACAUACUCAGUGAUGGGGUGACGGAGAAGUGAAAGAUCCGCGUACUGACGGAAUAGUACGUUGAAGCCAGUAGGUAUAGGCUGUGUAGUUAAAUGCGCACGGCCUGCUGAAGGUGAUAGUACCACAAUGCUUCGGCAGCGUGGAUAGUGAUCCUAACCAGGCUCCCAAGAAAAACCUCUAAACUUAUGAGUAUGCUACCCGUACCGCAAACCGACACAGGUAGUCAAGAUGAGAAAUCUAAGGCGCUCGAGUGAUUCAUGGCUAAGGAACUAGGCAAAAUCGCCCUGUAACUUCGGGAGAAGGGGCGCCCCACUUCGGUGGGGCCGCAGUGAAAAGGCCCAGGCGACUGUUUAGCAAAAACACAUGGCUUUGCAAAAUCGAAAGAUGAAGUAUAAGGCCUGACACCUGCCCGGUGCCGGAAGGUUAAGGGGGGGCGUUAUCUUCGGAGAAGCGCUGAACUGAAGCCCCGGUAAACGGCGGCCGUAACUAUAACGGUCCUAAGGUAGCGAAAUUCCUUGUCGGGUAAGUUCCGACCUGCACGAAUGGUGUAACGAUCUGGGCACUGUCUCAGCCAU
rnacentral:rRNA from 1 species